UCCCGCGGUGUCUAGCGAGGCCGCGACCUGUAGGAGGAGACUUGCGCGGCCCUUUCUUUCUCCACCUCCGGCUCUCGCCAUUGUUCCCGCCCCCUCGCCGACUCUUUCGGGCCUCUGUUCGCUGUGGCCGCCGCGGCGCCGCUCGCCGUCUCCAUCCCGGCCUUUUCUGCCGCAGCUGCAGCCUCCUCCUCCUCCUCCAUCUCGAGCUCGUUUUGCUCGGCUCGCCGUUGAUCAGUUCCCGAAGGGGAGAUCCCAGGCCUCCGACCGCCAUGUCCCGCUAUACGCGGCCUCCCAACACCUCGCUCUUCGUCAGGAACGUGGCGGACGCCACUAGGCCUGAGGAUUUGCGCCGUGAAUUUGGUCGAUAUGGCCCUGUAGUAGACGUAUACAUUCCGCUUGACUUCUACACAAGACGCCCACGAGGAUUUGCUUAUAUACAGUUUGAAGAUGUUCGUGAUGCAGAAGAUGCUCUUUAUAACCUCAAUAGAAAGUGGGUAUGUGGCCGGCAAAUUGAAAUACAGUUUGCACAAGGGGAUCGCAAAACCCCAGGUCAGAUGAAGUCAAAAGAACGUCGCCAGUGUUCUCCAAUGGAUUACAGAAGAUCAAGAAGCCGUAGCCGAAGGAGGACACGUAGCCGAAGUUCAUCAUGGGGCUGGAGUAGAAGACACUCUGACAGCUUUAAAGAGUCAAGACGUAGACGGCAUUCUUAUAGUCAAUCUAAGUCUCGCUCAAAAUCUCUUCCAAGGCAUUCCAGCUCACCAAGACGAUCAAUCACACCUCAAAGAAAUUCUACCUCUCGAGGAAGAUCGCGGUCAAAAUCAAUGCAGCGGUGUUCAAAAUAUGCAGAGAAAUCGCCAUCCAGCUCCCACCGAAGACGCUCUACUUCAAGGACAAAGUCACGCUCACAUCCAAAGCGCUCAGGUUCAGUUACCAGAUCACUAUCUAAAUCUCCACGGAAACAUGCCAACUCCAGUUCUCGCUCUAGAAGUUUCUAUCAGAGAAAUAGUAACCAGUCAGUAUCUGAAGAAGAUUAAUGUGUUUUUCUAAGAGUUUUUUAUGAGCACAAAUUAAGAACAAAAUUUGUCCAAAUGUACCUGAAAUGUAAGAUAAUUGAUUAAUGAGAGGUCUUGCUAUGUUCUCUUGGUCCAUAUUUCAAUAAGCAGAACUCUUUAAAAUUUGCUAGCAUUAAAUAAACAUUUAUUUAGCCUAGAUUAGUUUCUUUUAACUUAGAGGCCAAUACAAUUUGAACCUAGUUUGACUCUAUUGGGUAUAAGCUAGCAUUAUGCUCUGCUCUUACAUCAAGUUUUCUUUUUUGGACAGAAUUGUCUUUGGACCUUUCUUCCAAACCUUUGGAACAGCAAGAAAUUUAUGCUACUGUAAUUUUGUACUGGCUUAAAGGUGCACACAGGUCUGUCUGGUGCUUUGUAGUGGAGUUGGAAGGGAAAGCCUUUCUCUAUCCAUUUCUACUUACUUUAGUAUGUAUUGCAGUACAGUUGUGUCAGUCUGCCAGAAAUGUGGAGAUGCUGAUGGAUCAGAUUUUCCAUUCCACCUAUGCAACUCAUCCCCCUCCCCCUGAAAUUUCCAAGCAAGAUUUAAGAGGAAGAUGAGCAUGCAGAAGAACCAUAACCAACACAGUUCUUAUGGUCUCAGGUUGCUUGAAAAGACUGGUGCCAUAUAGGGGAAAUUCUGCAGUGUUCUUCCUAUUGUGAGUGUUAGCUUUUGAAGAUUAAUGCUGUCAUGAAGAGCAAUUACAUUAGAGACAUUCCCCCAAGCUUUUUUGCAUUGUCAGGAAUGUUACAACCAUUUCCUUUCUACAUCUGCCUCUCCAAGAUGAUGCAUGGAUGGAAUGGAAAUAACUGUUAUUUUAUUUCAGAACUCAGCAGUCUGAUACAGCAGACAUGCACUUAGAAUUAACUGAGUUCACAAUCCUUAUAUGUGAACAUAACCUCUGAUUAUCCCAGAGUUUCUUUAUUUCAGCAGCAUAAUUUGGAUUGGGAGUUAUUUUGUUGCUGCUUGUUAAACAGGUGUAACAUUAAAAGUAUGACCUGCUAAUUGGCAAACCAGAAGUCUGAUAGCUUACUUGCUCCAUCUAUUCUCGGUCAAGUUUGGUCGCUGAGAUAGCAUGAACUUGUAUGUGCCUAUUCUGAAGUAAUCCUCAGUAAUGUUAUUGAGGGUCAUGAUCAUUUAUAGCUAAAUCAGAAUGACAUGCUGCUAAAUCCAAUUAAACCACUGUGUGAUUUGGUAUGUACAUAUAUACCACCCUCUUGGCUUUGUAAGAUAGGAAGCACUCCCAGAUAAACCAAUUCUACUUUAUUACAUAAUCUUUCAAGCCUGAAAGUACAUUUCUCUUGGUUGCUUUUACAGCCCCAGAAAUUAGGGAGAGGAUACCUUCUGAGAGGUUUGCAGCACCCACACUCCUGUGGGCUAAGCUGCUGCUUAUCUGACUGCUCCUCUGGGUAUGGCUCUUCUCCAUUUCCCAAGGUCAUUCCUACUGAUUGGACAUUUAGAAAAUUUUCAGAAAUGUUUGUAUUUCUGUUCAUAUAGUUUAAAAUGAAAUAGAAUCAGCAGGAAAUAUGGCAGUUUAGCAAAAUCUCCCAAGUUCAUGGAAAGAUGAACUUGAGUUAAAACAGAUACUUCUCACUUUCGGGCUCAGUUUAUAGCUAGGUGCUUUUUUAUGGAAAAGGGCAGAUCUUUAGAGAAGCCUCAAAUUUCCUUAACCCCUCUUAAAAAAAAGAAGCAAAAAGAAGUCCUCCCAUAUUUCUCCCUGCCCACUGUCUCUGGGACUGUAAAUGGGGUGCUGGGAAUAAGGUGACACCUGUGGAUUACUCAUCAACCAGCAAGACUAUGGAUAUGUAAGUGUUAUGUAAACAGUCUGUAUGUGUAUGAAAUAUGAGAAAGCCAAUGCAUACAGCUUCUGCAUUCACCUGUAUUCUUAACCGUGACAAUACUUUUCUUUCCCUCAUCAUUGAAACAAGUUGCAAAAUAGGAUUGCCAGAUAAGAAAUGGUAUUUUACAUCUCUGAGAACUGAGAGAAACAGCAGAAAGGCUGCAUUAUGCACUGUUUUUUUAAAGCACUUCAUCAGACCUUACCAAUUACCUUACUAUAUGUAUAUACUAAUUAUUUUAGGCAGGGCCGGGCAAAAUCUUGAUGAAUUAAAAAAAAUUGGAGUCUAUGAUCCUAAGCAGAAAUCUAUGAAUUUAAGCAAGUAUCAUCUUGAUUCACACCUGCUCUUGAAUUCAGAAAAACCUGAAAGCAAAAUAAAUUUACGUGAGGUUAAGCUAUAAAACAGCAUAAGCAAUUUGCAGUUUGUGGGCAAUUUGCAACCCUCAACUCUUUUUUGAAAAUCCUGGAGCACUUCUGAUUACAUCCAAGAUCAUCUGCGACAGAAUUGCUAAAAAUAGCAGCAUGGUUUUCAAUUGUCAUGAGAUAAGCCUAUAAAAAUGGCCAUGUAUGCCUUGAAAUAAGCUUAACACAGUCAAAAACACAAACUUGCAAAGUGUCUCCUGAAAGGCAGGGCUAGAGAUAAUAGUUGAGCAUUUAUUGCUUCUUUAAUAUAUAAGACCACCCCACUUUACUUUUGUUGUGCCAACAAAGAAUAUAAUUUACCAAUUUUGGGGUAUUCUAAAAAUUUGCUAUAUUGUCUUUUGAUAUGUACUUCUUGCAGGCAAAUUAUAUCUAAUUUCAUUUUUUGCAAUUUCAUAAGAAUUCUUUUCAUGGGAGAAUUUAGUCCAUUUAUAUUAAUCAACAGUAAAUUUAUUUCUUCUAUUUCAUUAAUAUAUAGGUUUUGCCGUUCUAGUUGCUCUUGUUUCUCUCUACUCUUUAGCUCUUGCUCCUUUUCUUUUUUGUUCAGUUUCACUUUCUUCUUCUUGUUACUUGUGGUUUCUCGUGCCGUUAAUUCAUCUUGUCCUCUCUCUUCUAUUUCCUCUCUUUUUUCUUGUUCAUCAUACGGGUUGAAAUGAUAGCCAUAGAAUUCAUAUGUUUUAUCUAAUGAAUCCAAUCUCUCUUUUGUCAUUCUUUGUAAUCAAAAUUCCUUCAGGUAUCAGCCAUCGAAAACAUAUCUGAUGUUUAAUCAACUGUCCUGUCAGGAAUUGGUAUUGCUUCCGUAGGUCUCUUACUCUUCUGGGCACCUGUUUUAAAACCACAAUCUCUCUCCCUUUAUAUUUCAACAGUUCAUCUCUUACUUUUUAAAGAAUUUCUGCUCUUAUUGUUUUAUUGAUGAAUCUCAUAUGCACCUCCCUUGGGAGUUUCUUCUUUCUUGCAUAACUAGUAUGAAUUCUAAACACUUCAUUGAACUCAGCCCUCAUGUCCUGUUUCGUUAUCUGUAGGGCCUGUGUCAUUAACUCAGCCAUCAAUUCAGCUGGAACAUCUUCCUUUUCUUCAAUAUUCUGGAAUCUCAGAAAAUGUUUGGCCUUCUCCAUUUGCAGCUGAAUUACAGUUCCCUCCAGUUCCUUAUUAGCCUGCAUUAAUCUCUGGUUCAUUUCCUCUGCUUUUUUCCUCUGUUUGUUCUGAUUUCAAUAGUUUUGAUCUUUUCUUCAGUUUUGGCUAACAUCUGCUGAAAUUUCCCCAAUUUUUUAUCCAUGCUUUCCCUUUACUCCAUCUCUCCCAUCUCCGUCUUAAUCUCUCCCAUCUCAUUCUUCAUUUCAUUGUGGUUCUUGGCUAUGGUCUUUGUAGUGAUUGAAACAAUGCCUGCAUGUCUUUGUGAAUUGUAUUCAUUUUCUCCUGAAUCAAACUUUCUAUGGACCUUUGGUUUGAGGGACUUGACUUUGCUGAUGAUGGCGCCAAUGGGAUUCCCCCCCACUAGUUUAGAUAAAUUUGAGUUUGACAUUUUAAACUAUUAUCAAUAUAUCAAUUGAUAUAUUAAAGCAAAUGCCCAACAAUAAUUCUAAAUUCUGCCAAAUCUUCCACUCCCUUUUGUUCCCCUUUUUUAGUAUUAACCAAUAGGUCUCUUCCCCUGCCCUUUUUUUAAAGUCAACAACCAACUUCAGUGUUCUUUAACUUUAAAUUCCACACAGUCUAUGUCUGAACUAAUCCAAAAGAUUUCUUCAGCAUUCUUUUUAAUCCACUUAUUCUUCUUAUAGCAAAUGGUAUUUAUAAUCCACAAGGCCCACAAAACCUCCAAUAAUUAUAAGUUGCCCUCUCCAGCCGUUCAAAAGGCCAUCCACUUAACUUCAAAAUAAAUCCAAGUUUCACACUGCCCAGGUAUUUGUAAUCCACACAGAUUCAGAGAGUUUCAAUCACAAGUUUUCUGUGUCUUCCAAGUGUCAAAUGUAAACAAUUUACAGGUGUUAAUUCCAUAAGUCUGCAACAAGUCAGGCUUAUCAGUUCAAUUCCAGGCAAACCCAAACAAUUCACUUUUUCCAAGGCAAUUCAAGGUCUUCUCCCUCCCGGUGUCAAAUUCUACCAGUAGAUGGUGCCCUUACUCUGUUUCUCCACUGUCACACAGUUUCACUUCAAGAAUUUUUAUGUGCUUUCAAAAUGUCCAAGAUUCACUUUUCAAAGUUUUCAAUACUCAAAAAAAAUGUCUUAAAUGCGCUGUAGAAAUCAGGCAAAAUGUCCUCAAACAAUCAGCCCAGGGUCUCAGUCACUUAAAAGUCUAUUUCUUAAAAGCGCUCUCUUUUCAUUCCUUUGAAUCUGUCAGCAGCUCAUGAGCUUAGUUGCUGCCAUUCUUGAGUGAUUAAAGACCACCUCUUCCCUUUUAGAGUCUCAUUUCAAAUAAAAAGUUAAUUUCUGGGGCAAAUUCCUCAACAGAAGUUGGAAAAUUGAAAGUAUCUCACCCAGAUCAACCAUGCUGUUAUCCACCUGUCUUCUUCAUUGCUCUUUCAUUGAAGCUGUCACAGCCUUGAUCCGGCCAGUUUAAUGGUUGUCUUUUCCCUCUGCCUGUUUGAGGGGUUUUUCCAGAUAGAACAAGGAGUUUGCUGACUCCUUGUGAUCAACGGAAUUUUCACUCUGUUUUCACCACCUCUCCAAGGUGGCUUGGGUCCAAAUGAGUCCAAUUGGACCUCCUAGCAGGUGGAAUUCGGCGGCUUAGCAUGGAGCCCCAUGAAAGCACACUGUUUCGCUGCAAUGUCAUCUCCUCCCCCAAUUGGCUUUUUGUUGAGUAACCCAGAGAUGAUGGAGAACAACUUCUUGGAUUUAGCUUCUUUUUGUUUUCUCUGCAAUUUCUACUGACUGUUCUGAUAUCCGGUUUGGUUUCUUCUGUUUCUUGUUCUUUGGCAAUGUCUUUUUAUAUUCAUAACAUUUUUAUUUGAUUCUGUAGUUUGUCUGGUUCCCUAUCAGUGGAGUUCAAGAUUUCAGAGCAAUUCCUGAUGUUCUCCUUGAAAAUUGUUAUAAGCUUAUAUGUUAUAUCAUAUCAUGGAAAUUGGUUGAUUUUCUUAUGCUGUGGUAGCUUGAGCAGUUCAUGAUCUAUUCCGUCUAAUCAUCAUCUGUCUACAUGAGCAGUUCAUGAUCUUUGCUGUAAAACUGAGCUCUUCCAAUUCCUUGUAUCAAUAAUAUUGUCAGUUUGAUUUCUAUGUACUCUGUCUAAUGGUAUCCAUGUACGUUGGUGGUGUUUUGGUUGUUUGAAGAUCAUUUGGCUUUUUGAAAAUUCAUUUAAACAAUUACGCAAAGAAAGAUUAGCAAUCUGAACAUUGGAAAUUUACCUUAAGCAGAGAAAAAGAGGAGAGAGAGAAGAGGGAAAAUAAGAGGGAGAGAAGAAAUAAAGAUCUACAGUAACUACCUUAUUAGACUUUGAAGUUCAGAAGAUGACUACAAUUGCAAUUUUAUUAAAUAGAUUGAUACCCAGUCUCUACUAUGUACCUCUUGUGAAGAAAGAAUAUGACCAGCUGAAGGUCAUUUCCAGUAAUGGGAUCUUGGCAAUGGGAAGGUUUAAUAGAUCAGUUUUAAAAUUGAAAAAUAGAGCUAUAUUCAGUGCCUGCUGAAAUAACAAUUUCAAUUCUGUUUUUAGCUUAUUGCAGAGGAAGUCAUUCCUUUCCAGUGCUAAAAGCUCAUGAUAUUAAAACAUCUGCUACUGACAAAAUAAUCAGACAAUCAGACAAGAAGGCUGAUAGGAAAUUGUAACCAAAAAAUGUAAGAUAUUUAUAUUUAUUAAGAUGAAUUGGGACACACAACUGCCCCAAAAGUUCUGGAAUCUUAAAUCUUUAAGAUUUAUCCACUGUAAAUAUGGAAUAUGAAUAUGGAUAUGGAUAUGAAAAUAUGGAUAUGGAUAUGGAUAUGAAAAUAUGGAUAUGAAUAUGGAUAUGAAUAUGGAUAUGAAAAUAUCCACUGUAAUGGUGAAGCCAAUGUCACCUUAAGAUUAACAGGUGUAUCAUUGUUCUUUCACUAAGCAAAAUCCAUACUUUGGUCUAUGGAACAUACACAGACAUAUGGCCUAUCUGUGACAGUGUAUAGCACUUAACCUUAGUGCUUAACUGCAAACAAGCUGUAGAACAAGCAAGAUGUUCUUGAACAGCAAUAAACUUGCUGGGAAACAAGUUUCUAUAUAUUCUCAUGGAUUUCAAGAAGCUGGGAAGGAAACAGGUGAAACUUGUCUCACCUUAAAUGAGACAAGGUGGACCAGGAUGUCCUGGACCUGCUGAAGAGUUUCAUUGUUUUGAAGGUGAGGAGCUCACUCAAAACUCCUGAAGGAAUUGUGAAUACGAUCUGGACAGGAUUAUUGAAGAAGGAAGGCAUCAAAGGGGGAAGAGAUUUAUUUGAAAGGGAGUCACCUUCCAGAGAAACAUUUAUGAUCCUAUUAUGUCAGUGUGAGGAAUUGCCAGCUAAGUUUAAUACUCGUUUAACUCUAAUGAGAGAAAGUAGGAGGGAGCAAUUGUUACACAUACAGGGCCUAUAAGCAGAAAUGUCAUUUUUCAGGCAGGGCAAUCAUUUACCUUUUAUAAGCUGCUUAAGACCUGGUUGUUCACCCAAGACUUCAGCUAGAAUGACCCUCUUUGGUUGACUAUUGACUGCUUGGCUUUUGGAGUUUGGUCCUGGUUGGCUGUCUCCCCCCUCCCUCUUUUAUCUGUAAACCACUCGAGUUGCUAUAGAGCAGGGCUGUCAAACUCAAUUUCAUUGAGGGCCGCAUGAGGGCUGAGGUUGACCUGGGGGGGGGGGCGACGGCGGCUGUGGCUGACUGGAUGGGUGUGGCCAGCUUAAUAUCACUUCCCAAACUGCUGGCAUGUUUCCUCUUUGCAUUGGGUAGAUCGGGCCAAAGCAACGCAGGCCAGCUACUUACAUUUUUCAGGAUGGCCCUGCGGGCCAUAUCCAGUCACAUCAUGGGCUGGAUCCAACCCGCAGGCCUUGUGUUUGACACCCCUGCUAUAGAGCCUCAAAAUUGAAACAAUUAAAAUCCUCCUGAAGACAUCUUCUGCAGAGUGUACCAUGCAUAUUCCUCUCUCAGAUAUGGCAGAUUAUACUGAGGCAGCCCAAGGGAACAGAUCAACUCACGUUAGAGAUAGUUACCCUACUCAUACCAUAUGGUUUCAUACUGGCUUGUCUACACCACACAGCUCUUUCAGUUUGAUGAGGGGACUUUUGCACUAGUAGUGAGCAAUAUGGUUGAGAUAUUUUUACAUUGUGGGCAGUGCUAGUACCCACUUGGGGAAUUAAGAGAUUCUUUCACUGAGUUCACAAAGGAGCUGUGCAGACAGGACACAGCAGUGUGAGCCAUAUGGAGUGAGGCAGCUCCCUACAUCACCAGAAGAGCAAGAUGCUCCAAAGCUCUGUCAUUAGCAAAUUACGUAGAGCCUUCAAAUCCGGCUGACAUAACUAGAUUUGCCACAAGUAAUGAAAAGGAGAAGCAAAUCCAGCUUCAUUGUACAUGUUUGCCCUUGAAAUAAUCUUUUGGACAUGUGCAAAAGCCUUCCAUUUUGCAUGUACAAAAAGUUAACACCAUCAUCACAAAGGCCAAAACUACAGAUCACAAAAACUCAUACAUAGGAUUGAUGCCUAUCCACAGAUCGUGAAGGCAACAUGUAUGAAAUCUGGUAGACCUAUAAGCAAUAUAAAUAUGCCAAGGCCAGAAUCACUUUUACAAAAAAGAUUAGUCAAAACAGAUGGACGCCACAUUCAGCAAGAAUGCAAUUUACUUCCAUUAGCUUGCAGUGGCUUUAUUACAGUAUAUGGGGGCAGUACAAUUCUCUCUUAAUUGUGGAAGUAUUUUGACCCUUUAGUGCGUUGUAAUGAACUGUUGCAAGUCAAGGACUACGUGUACUGUACAUUGUCUGCUUUUGUGAAAAAAUGAAGCUUUGAAAUCUAUCCCAUCUGUCAUUUUAAAAACCUUUUGAAAUUUCUACAGAAUGUUGCUUGUUGCUUUGGAAAGCAUGGGCGGAACUGGAUUUAUCCAAACCAUCGUUUUAUUUCCCCUGAAAAUAUAUUGAAUGUGAAGGAUUAUUUCUACCAAAAUGGGCUAAACUAUCAUUCUAUUAAAGAUCCUUGUUACAUAUUUAGCAAAAUAUACUUUUCAUGAGGCCUAGAUAUAGCCACUAGGUGCAUGCAAUGCUAUUCGAUCCAGAGGGUAAGGUGCUUGUGUGGAGAUAUCAAGUAGUACCUGUUGGCACUUCCUGAAAUGAAAUACAUUUAUUUCUGGGAUUUUACAGCAGCCUGAGGCAGUCUUGGAAAAAUAAAAGGUUCUAAGGAAUCGUUGCAAGCUGCCACACAACUGUGUACCACAAAGCACCUUUCUUCCUCAAAGCAUGAAACAAUUCUAAUAACUACAAUGUUUAUCUUGCAUACUUUUGCAAACAACUUAUUAAAAGCAGUGCUGUAUUUCAGAGCUGGGGUUAA